rnacentral:rRNA from 1 species
CUACGGGUCGCAGCAGUGAGGAAUAUUGCACAAUGGGGGGAACCCUGAUGCAGCAACGCCGCGUGGAGGAUGACGCAUUUCGGUGUGUAAACUCCUUUUAUAUGUCAAGAAAAUGACGGUAGCAUAUGAAUAAGCACCGGCUAACUCCGUGCCAGCAGCCGCGGUAAUACGGAGGGUGCAAGCGUUACUCGGAAUCACUGGGCGUAAAGGACGCGUAGGCUGGUUGGUAAGUCAGGUGUGAAAUCCUACAGCUUAACUGUAGAACUGCACUUGAAACUACCAACCUAGAGUAUGGGAGGGGGAGAUGGAAUUAGUGGUGUAGGGGUAACAUCCGUAGAUAUCACUAGGAAUACCGAAAGCGAAGGCGAUCUCCUGGAACAUAACUGACGCUAAGGCGUGAAAGCGUGGGGAGCAAACAGGAUUAGAUACCCCGGUAGUC